rnacentral:rRNA from 1 species
AUUGAACGCUGGCGGCAGGCCUAACACAUGCAAGUCGAACGAGUGGCGGACGGGUGAGUAAUGUCUGGGAAACUGCCUGAUGGAGGGGGAUAACUACUGGAAACGGUAGCUAAUACCGCAUACCAUCAGAUGUGCCCAGAUGGGAUUAGCUUGUUGGUGGGGUAACGGCUCCCCAAGGCGAAGAUCCCUAGCUGGUCUGAGAGGAUGACCGUCGAGACUGGAACUGAGACACGGUCCAAGCUCCUGCGGGAGGCAGUGGUGGGGAAGAUUGCACAAUGGGCGAAAGCCUGAUGCAGCCAGGCCGCGUAGAUGAAGCAGGCCUUCGGGGUGGAAAAGACUUUCGGCGGGGAGGCGUUACCCGGAGAAGAAGCACCGGCUAACUCCGUGCCAGCAGCCGCGGUAAUAC